rnacentral:rRNA from 1 species
UACGGAGGGUGCGAGCGUUGUCCGGAAUCAUUGGGCGUAAAGGGCGCGUAGGUGGCCCGGUCAGUUCGUGGUGAAAGCGCGGGGCUCAACCCUGCGUCGGCCAUGAAUACUGCCGCGGCUGGAGCACUGUAGAGGCAGGCGGAAUUCCGGGUGUAGCGGUGGAAUGCGUAGAUAUCUGGAGGAACACCGGUGGCGAAGGCGGCAUCCUGGACCGGCAUUGACGCUGAGGCGCGAAAGCCAGGGGAGCAAACGGG